CCUACGGGGGGCAGCAGUCGAGAAUCUUCCACCAAUGUGCGAAAGCAUGAUGGAGCGACGCCGCGUGAACGAUGAAGGGCCUCGGGUUGUAAAGUUCUGUCACCCGGGUCUAAUCCCUCAGGGUUAAUACCCUUUGAGGUUGAAGCCCCGGGAGAGGAAGCACUGGCUAAAUACGUGCCAGCAGCCGCGGU
rnacentral:rRNA from 1 species